rnacentral:rRNA from 1 species
AGUGGCGGACGGGUGAGUAACGCGUAAGAAUCUAACUUCAGGACGGGGACAACAGUGGGAAACGACUGCUAAUACCCGAUGUGCCGCGAGGUGAAACCUAAUUGGCCUGAAGAAGAGCUUGCGUCUGAUUAGCUAGUUGAUGGGGUAAGAGCCUACCAAGGCGACGAUCAGUAGCUGGUCUGAGAGGAUGAGCAGCCACACUGGGACUGAGACACGGCCCAGACUCCUACGGGAGGCAGCAGUGGGGAAUUUUCCGCAAUGGGCGAAAGCCUGACGGAGCAACGCCGCGUGAGGGAGGAAGGUCUUUGGAUUGUAAACCUCUUUUCUCAAGGAAGAAGUUCUGACGGUACUUGAGGAAUCAGCCUCGGCUAACUCCGUGCCAGCAGCCGCGGUAAUACGGGGGAGGCAAGCGUUAUCCGGAAUUAUUGGGCGUAAAGCGUCCGCAGGUGGUCAGCCAAGUCUGCCGUCAAAUCAGGUUGCUUAACGACCUAAAGGCGGUGGAAACUGGCAGACUAGAGAGCAGUAGGGGUAGCAGGAAUUCCCAGUGUAGCGGUGAAAUGCGUAGAGAUUGGGAAGAACAUCGGUGGCGAAAGCGUGCUACUGGGCUGUAUCUGACACUCAGGGACGAAAGCUAGGGGAGCGAAAGGGAUUAGAUACCCCUGUAGUCCUAGCCGUAAACGAUGGAUACUAGGCGUGGCUU